CAAAGAGAAGUGAAGAUACAGUACUGACACACACACACCGAGCUCGCAGUAUAAAUGGGUAAAGCAUGAGUGUGGAAUGUGUAUGAAUGCCAGAGACGAGGUGAACUGAAGCAGCAGCACUGCUGGAAACCUUAAUCGGUGUAAACGUAAAGCAGUGGCCUGUUGAAGUAGGUUCACUCACGGACUGGAUUAGUGUUUUGUUGUGCACAUACUUUUGUAUAUAUUUCUGAUGUGAACAUAGUUUCUGAACUUUUCUAACAUCAUAGUUUUGUUAACUCUUCUGAGCACAGUUUUGCAAAUAACACAUUAUUAUUAAGCUUUAGUUUUAAUUUUCACGUAAUCACUUGACUGAGACUUUGAUGACUGACGACAUGGACGGAGAAUUUAACAGAGACACUGUUGAUGAUGGGUGGGGUCCGAACAGCCCACUAAAAACAGUAGAAGCUCAACUGAUUAUUUUAGAGAAAGCGCUGCAUCAGGCUUUUGACUCUAAAACCGCAUCUGAAGAGAUGACUCAGAUGAGGGAGGCAGUCAUUAAUUUGCUGGGAGAAAUAGGCCGUGGCAUGAAAGAUAGAGGUUGUUUACAGAAGGAGUUUUGGAGAAAGGAGGGUGAAGCGAAGGCAGAGAGGGAGAAGGCCAGGAAGAGUGCAGAGCAGUGUGGCUGGUCUAAGAAAGGGAGAUUUAAGAGGGAGCAGGAAAAAGCAGAGGAGAAGAGAGCUCAGUGGGCGCGAUGGGCUUUGAUAGGUCAGGGUGUAACUCACCUCAUGACUGAGAAGCCCAAAACACAGGAUGCCAAAGCAGAAAAACCUAAGGAUCCCUCACCGUAUACACCACCCCCUCCUACUGCACCACCAUCCUCUCAUUCAUCUGCUGGAUUAUAUCCAGUUUUACAAAUAACUCAAGGCACACUGGCCAUAACAGACAUGCCUGAUUCCCCUGAGGCGUGGUCUGAUGACAGCUCUCACACGUCCCAAGUGAGUAGUGUGUCUGCUUUACCCUCGGGAGUUAGCACCCGUGAAGGGCCUCCAGAGGCCCCUGCCCUUUCACCUUUCCAGCUGCGAAAGGACAGAGAACUGAGCUGCGACGGAGCACUAUGUGUUGCAGCUGAAGCCCCGCUGUCACACAGAACACAGACACCAGACAUUGUGAACACAAAGCAGGGAGAAAUAGACAAGGUGCAACAGUUGCAGGAGGAAUUAAAGGAGUUGCGGGCUGCUAUAACUCAGGACUUAACACCACACACAUAUGCACACGCUAACCCCCAAUUUGGAGACGCUACACUUCACGUGGGAGGCGUGUGGAAAGAUGGAUCACAGGAAGGGAGGACAGCUGGAAUUCAGAUGCAGGUCGAGGGUGUUUGGUCCGCGGAGCAGGGAGAGACGUUUGAACUAUUACAGAGACAGGCCAAGGCUACUGAGGAGUGGUUGAAAACACAUGAAGCUGAACACUUAGCACAC
rnacentral:lncRNA from 1 species